UCAGGAUGUCAGUGGAGGAAGUCCCUACAGAUGUGGUAGAAAUCGCAAGACAACCAGAAUUAGAAUUAGGGCCUUAAGACGAGAUUAAAUUGCUGUAAACUCAUGAUGAAACUUGAACAAGUGGGGAGUUUCUUCUUAUGGAUGAGCAAAGAAAAUAUUUUCUUGAGAUGGAAUCUACUCCAGGUGGAGAUGCUAUGAACUUUGUUGAAAUAACAACAAAGGAUUUAGAAUAUUCCAUAAACCUAGUUG
rnacentral:lncRNA from 10 species